GGGAGAUGAUGGCGUUGCAGAAGCGGUCUUACGGUCCCUAAACUGAUGGCUAGCACCAUCUAUAGGGAGAUUCCGGCUUCAUACUUCUAAACCUGGUGUAUAUAUAUAUAAAUAUAAAUAUAAAUAAAUAAAUAAAUAAAUAUAUAUAUAUAUAUAUAGAAAGUACAAAUUAGUUCAGUCCGUUUUCAAAAGAUGGCUCUGGCUGUUAUGAAUGUUGCAUAGUGACAGCUGUUUCCUGCCUGCCUUGCGAGUGAAAGGUUUAUCCCGCAGGCAACUCUCUUUCCUGUUGAAGUUUUCUACAGCCCAUCGCUUAGUGAGUGCGUAGGUUAGUUUCUUUGUGCUGCGCAGCAUCAGUUCUUGCUGUUUCGAGUAUUUUCUACAACAGUUGCUUCUCCUCGAUCGUGUUGUACGGCCGCUAAUACAUUGCGUAUUGGCGGCCGCCCCGCGUCCUCCCAGGUCACGUGACUCGGCCCUUUAGCUCCAAGAACUUGAUCCGCCAGGAUGGGAAAACAACAGAGAAAGAGAUAAAAAAAAGAGGAAUCUUCUUCUGUCUUGGACAUGCAGGAAGAUAGUAAUCGCACACCUCCCCUUCUUCAAAACUCAGCCAACUUUCCCCAUGCGGCCAAGAUGAAAAAGGUCGAGGGGAAAGGAGACACUUCACCGAUGCCAUAGAAUAGUCCGACCCCUCAAGUUCAGGAUUCGGGUAAACAAGAUAAAUACGACGCAUAUUGUAAAGCACUUUUCUACGUAAUACGGAAACAGUCCCAACAACAAGAUAACCCUUCCUACAGAUCUAUGACAUCUUUCCUCGACAUUUCCCGUCUACUAUAUAAAUCCAACGUUAAGUAUGCGGAGUGCAAGCCCCAGGGGAGGAACAUGUGGAGAAUCUCCUUUAACUCCAGAUUGGAUACCAACGACUCGGUCAAUAACCCGUAUUUAAAAUAACUUGGCCUCACUGCCUUUAUUCCUAGAUCUCUGUUAACCCGCAAGGGAAUAGUAAGGGGAAUCCCGCUGGACGCCCUCCUGGAAAAAAUCAUUGAGUGUAUCAACCGCGAAAACUUUAAAACUCAGGCUGGGAAUGCCUUUCGGCUCAAGAGAAAGAACAGGGACACCAGUAUGUGGGUUGACUCACCCACUGUGUGUAUGGAGUUUCGAAGACAAACUCUACCAGACACCAUCCUAAUCUGGAAAGCCAGAAUCAAUGUCUUGCUCUAUAUUCCUGCAGUCCGACUUUGUUAUAAAUGCGGACAUACCACCAAGUUCUGUAGAUCUGCGGAAAGAUGCUUGGAAUGUGGCGGAGGACAUAGGAACUCUCCUGAAUCACCAUGCAGGGAAAACAAGAAGUGCAUAAACUGCGAUGGGAACCAUUCCAUACGUGAUCGGGACUAUAUAGUAUACUUAAAACGAGCUGCUAUCACCAGAUACAUGGCCAUCGAGAACGUGUCUUUCUUCGAAGCCCGGAAAUAUAUAGAAUCCAACGGAAUUGAUACCUCAAUGGAUUCUCCACCGCUUCUCACCAGGAGCAACUUCCCGGAACUUCCUGAGCAAGUCAGCCCAAGGACCCGUUAUUCGGAAGCACUGAAGAGCACCUCGCAGUCUAUCUCUCCGUUCGCCAAACUACUCGAGGAUCCAUACAGUAUGAAAGCUCUACUUUUAAAAUUACUCACGAGUAUUGAACAGCUGUAUAACAGGGGGAGUGCAGAGUCAAUCAAAAGGGGAAAUGUCAGUAAAUCCUCAGAUUAUACUUCGAUUUCAACCCAAACCAUUCCCAACCCCGCCAAUGGCCCACCAUCCUUUUCCCAAGACUAGGCUAACUCAAUGGAAUUGCAGGAACGCACUCACAAGAUUUAAUGAUAUCAAUCAACUCGCUAAAGAAACUGACAUCCUUUUACUUUCAGAAACUUGGCUAUCGGAUGACACGAAUAUCAAUUUAAAACAUUUCGAAAUUGUCCGGAAGGACAGAAGGCUAAGGUAGGGCGGUGGCGUCGCUAUUUGUCUCUACAAGGGGAUCAAAUUUUCUCACCUAGAUAUCCGGUACGACUGUGACGGAGAGUUAGAAGUUUGCGGGGUCAGGCUCCACGCUGGUUCGGAAGAAAUCUCCUUGGUGUCAUGCUACAGCCCCCCUCAGGUCGCCUUAUACCCGCCUCCAACUGGACGAAAUUUUUCAAUCAGUUUUCAGACGGAUCCAAAAUCCCGGGCAACCCGUUUUCCGGAAUAGCCUUCACAUCCUUGAACGAGAAACACUCCGGCCUUUUCAGGGCACCAGCCUUCCUUCCGAUCUUCUCUAUUGAGGCCUUGGGUAUCCGAGAAGCCCUGUACGCAGGAAAAGCCAACCCCCACAUCAGUAACAUAAAAGAUGACAUCUGGGAAAUGGAAUCCAGUGGCUUCGAAAUAUCCCUCGUGUGGGUGCCCGCUCAUAUUGAAAUCUUGGGUAACGAACUAGCCGAUAGCAAAGCCAAGGAGGCGCCCUUCCGGGGAAAAAAACACCCUUUUUAGAUGCUAUCCUUGCGACCUUAAGGGGCACUGGAAAAAGAGGCUAUUUAAUGACUUCGAGAAGUGGAUUCUAGAAAAUUUCCCUGGCUCAGAUCGGGGCAUACCUCUUUAAAUGAGUCUUUUUAGGUUCAGAAUUGUAGACUCCCCCGACUGCCUACAUUGUAUACAUCCGAAUCGGCAGACCAUGUGGUUUGGCAAUGCCCUCGCUUUGGGAACCAGAGGGACACCUUGAUACGAAACGAAAUAUUCACCUUUCGCACCCUGCUUUGGGCGGUCCACUCCCUUCUCGCGACCAAAGAUCUUAAUAGCUACACUUUGUUAUGCCAGUUCAUAAACGGAAUCAACUUAUUCAUAUAAUCCUCUCUUGUCCGUUUAACUACAGGCGGACCCACUAUGCCUAAGUCAGAAACACAUUAAGACUAUUAGUUACCUUUACUCUGACGUAACCAUUCCACCUCCACUCGUAGUCUAGACACAUAUAAGUUCGCGUGCGAUUUGUAUUAUAAUCUUAGUAUGCGCUUCCCCCUCUCUUUAAGCCACUCUCUUACUCUCUUUCUCUUUGUAUAUAUUUUUUCUUUCAGUUUGUACCUGGCGAAGACUGUUUAAUUCGCAACUCACGAGUCACCAAAACUCCUACAACCUCAUACGGAAUUAUCUCUCUUUUCCUUUUUUCUUUUUUCCUUAGGUGACUCUCGAUGAACUCAUGCGUUAAAAUAAGCAAUAGCGGAUGCGUAAUCAUACUUCUUUCCUUCUUUAUUUUUUCUCCCGUCUCACCGCUUAUUACACAACUUCCCCCUCUGCGUAUACUACCCUCAGUUACUCACCCAACCAAUUUAUCUAUAAGGUUAUAAAAACUUUGUUUAUUCAUCGACGUCAAAACUAUGUAACCCACGCAAACUAACUGUGAUACUAUAGCGCUCAUGGUCGGAUAGGCUAAGUUCCUAGACCUUGUACACUUUUUUGUACACCCUUUACAUGCAAUAAAAAAAAAAUAGUGACAGCUGA